AAAAGAAAAGAAAAGAAAAGAAAAUAUAUUCAAGGAACCCUACAUAGCCAAAUUUGGAGGUUCAUUGCAAGAAGAGGAAGCAUAGAAAUGAAAAAAGAAUUAUGAUAAGGUAUUAUGGGAAAGUUUCUAUUUUUGUGUUUGUGAGGUUUUCUUGUUAUUGUAUGAAGCAAAGGUGUGGAAUGGUGUAUAUAUGGGAAAAGAAAGGAAUAGGAAAGGAGAGUGUAUAUUUAUUUUUUAAUUAUUAUUUGGGGAAAUGAAGAAAUGGGGUUUGCUGUGAGUGGUUUGGAAAACAGGAGUGGUUUUCAAAGGGAUGUUCUGUCGAUGUGGGAUUGGAGGAGAGACUGGGAAGUUGGUUAGAGUCUCGUUUUAGAGCCACAGGCUUAAAGUAGAGAAGGGGUGUCCGUGCAUGAUCUAGUCUUGUCAGGGCUGUGUAGUGGGACUCCGAACUUUGCAGGUUCCAGCUGCCGUGGAGGCCUCUCUUUAUUAUGUUGUUUCAUGUUUGUGUAUGGUGACGGCGUUUGUG
rnacentral:misc_RNA from 1 species